rnacentral:piRNA from 1 species
CUCAAGGUUGAUGUCUAAAAG